CAGUAGCCGCGGGAACACGUAGGGUGCAAGCGUUAAUCGGAAUUACUGGGCGUAAAGCGUGCGCAGGCGGUUAUAUAAGACAGAUGUGAAAUCCCCGGGCUCAACCUGGGAACUGCAUUUGUGACUGUAUAGCUAGAGUACGGCAGAGGGGGAUGGAAUUCCGCGUGUAGCAGUGAAAUGCGUAGAUAUGCGGAGGAACACCGAUGGCGAAGGCAAUCCCCUGGGCCUGUACUGACGCUCAUGCACGAAAGCGUGGGGAGCAAACAGGAUUAGAUACCCGUGUAGUCCCUGUCUCUUAUAC
rnacentral:rRNA from 1 species